rnacentral:lncRNA from 1 species
CCCCCCCCCAACUCUUAUUUUGUCACAAUGAUAUCAAGCGAUACCUUGUGUCUGGUUCUGCUGAACAGUACGAUAUGAUUUAAAUAUCCUGAAUCGCCCUCUAGAUGGCACUUAAAUGAGAAAAUGGGCUGAAGCCCUUAUUUAUGAACAAUCAAUGGACUGUGUAUAUAAAAACAAAUCCGGGGCUUAAAUAUUUAAUAAAGAGCCAAACCAACACAUCUUACUUUUGAGGAAUUUUCAUUUUGUCCCCCAGAACUGACAGGCGGCAAGGCGUGAUGGCAGAGCUGGUGGUGGGGAUGGUGUUGCUCAUAAUCCCAUAUCUCUGCAAACAUUGCAUUUUCAUUUUCAGAAUUUCGAGCUUGUGCUGUUGGAAGGAUCGCUAAACUUUGACUGUAAAGCAGUAAAAUACCAUGGCCUUGCCAAACCAAACGCCCCUGCCCGGAACACUCAUAACGUCUGCGGAAAGACCCGUCUCGGACACGGAGGAGUCGUACCUUCACAUCAGCAGCAUUGCGACAGCCCUCACGCAGGCAUCCUUGGACUCAGAUCCCGUGGAACUUGCUGCUAUGAUUUACGAGUUGUCCAAGAAGCAUUUCAACAGGAAGCAUUUCCGAGGCACAGCGGUCGGGCAAGUCUCAACGCAACACAGUGCAGAUGUAAUUAAAUCGACAAAAGUUGCUGGUGUAUCUCCACUACUGGACAAUGAAAGAGCAGUGACCACAUGUCCGCCUGAGUCACCUGUGGGACCUUUAGAGGGGGAUGAUGCUAAAACCCCUCAUUCUGCGAUUCAUCAUCAGCUGGAAGAGGGGCAGCGGCCAGCUGAAUGCGAUCGUGUAACUUCAGGUGUAACAUGCACAAUGUCCCGACCAACACAAGAGGACUCAAGUGCAGUUUCACAUGCCCAAAGUGAGUGUUCAUACUCUGGGCUUUUCAGCCAUAUUUCCUUUUUCAUCUCUCCCAGCAGUUGUACAAGUUUGUGAGCAAAACAAAAGCAACGACGACGCAGAGUUACUACCGACUAUGCGCACACACGGCAACACUUAUACAGUUCUACUUUACAGACUGUGCCAGCACACAUUUACUCAAAAGCAAAGGAAAGAAGCCACUCUCAUAGACAAGGGGGCAGAUGGGCUUGUAGGCCAAUAUGCGCGCGUGACCUGAAGGAGCGGCCAGGCCCGUAAGACCGGGGGGUCCUACCCGCGUCCUCGUGACGCGUUGGCGGACGAGCCGCAGAUGUGACCACGUGGCUGUGCCCCGACUCCGUGCUCCUUGGC